GCGACAACUUAACAGAUUUUUUAUUAAUAUUCUGACAAUUCUUGUUGUGCGUUUUUGUAAUAAAAGGCAUUUUGUGUCUAUUUAGCACUGAGUGUAGGAGAUUUUAAAGACAUGAAAAAGGUGUUUUGUUUUUGCAACAUACCUUCUAAUUUUAAUGAAUAAAAAACAUUUGGUAAAAAAAAAAUUGGACUGUUUGGCAGUAUUUCUUUUAAAACGGACAGAAAUUAAUGAAACGUCAGACUUAAGCAGCUUCGAUAACUCUUGUUAUAAUUAAUAAUCAAACGAACUUACCUGUGAAGUUUGAUUACAAUUAUGCGAGUAUCCAAAUCCAAGACAACAAAUAUAAUUUACUAGCAGCAGUACACGUUAUCGUGCAGUCCAAUUCACACAUUUUAGAGAUUAUAGUAUUUAAAAAAACAAGUUCGCGCUGUCCCUCUCACUCGCUACGCUGCGUUCCUGCUUCGACAUCGCUCCUCCAGUACUCAUUAUUUCAGAGUUAUUUUUGUGUUAUUAACAGAGACUAUUUUAUUUUCAUUUUUGGGGAUGGGGGGCGGGUCUUUGUUGUCUUGGAUUUGGAUACUCGCAUAAUUGUAAUCAAACUUCACAGGUAAGUUCGUUUGAUUAUUAAUUAUACUUCGUAUCCAAAUCCAAGACAACAAAUAUAAUUUACUAGCAGAUGUUCAGAGCUUUGUAUUUAAAUUCAAAUCCUGAAUGCGAAAAUAAAAUAAAAUAUCGAUAUCAAAUCAGUAUGUUACGAACAUACUGAUAUUAUUGAUUUUGACUAAAGAGAACAACGUACCACCUAGAAGUUAUUAAUUUAUAUCCAAUUUAAAUAAUUAUUUAUGUAUCCACAUAGUAUAAAUGUAAAAUGUAUGUAUAGCAUAAUAAAAUUAAGGAGUGAAAUUACUCUUGGUAUUUCAUUUCGUUAAUAUUAAAAAAGUAUAAAACUUUCUUUGAUUUCACUGUAGUAUAUUGAUAAAGUUGUAUAUAUCUUAAUAUUCACAAGGUACAACUAUUUUUAUGUCAUUUACAAGCCAGGACGCCAUUAAGUGUAAAUGUGUUUUCAAGCUUUAGUUGGCUCUAAAUAAGUUUUAGAUGGGCAUUUUCUGUCUGUAACCAUAUAAACAAACCAUUUUAUAUAAUUUAGAAUUUACCAACCAUUCUCUGGAUGUAAUUACAACGGAGACAAACAAGCAUACGGCCUGCCUGAUGGUAAACAAUCACCGUAGCCUAUGAAUGCCCGCUACUGCAGAGGUAUAUUACAUGCGCGUUACUGACCCUAAAAUAUAAUCUAAUUUUAUGUUACGACACUUUAAAGUUAAUUUUGAAUACAGCAAUCAAUACUUUCCUCGGUAAAUAGCCUUUGAGUGAGGUAGAUAAAGGAGAAUUUUCUUCAUUGUAAAGCUACCAUAAAUAUCAAGGCUAUAUGUAAGUACUUUAAAACUAAGUCUGGACAAUUACUAGUAGAGUAUCCUGUAGGUAUUAAGUAUUUGAAACUUAUCACUUUGAAAAUAUAGAUGGACUAAUUUUAGUUAUUACCACAGAUCAAGAAAUAGUAAUAUGAUAUUAUUUAUAACUAAAUAGCUAAUCUCAUCUGCUUAUGCGUAUCUGAACGAUGAUGGCUACUACGCUAACAAGUGGCAAGGAACUUAGGUAGAUUAUGUGUUGAGUUAUGAUAUAUUUGUGAACAAAAUAUCUGGCAUGACUUGUAACUUGUACUUCAUUUUAAGGAGUAACAUUUUUUAACGUUACCUACAAUAAAACUGUACAAUGUGCAUUGCGACGAAAAAUGAAAACUAUUUAAGCUUUAGCAAGACAAUAUGACAACCCGAGCAUUUACAUUUCAGACAAUAAUAAUGUUAUUGUUAAAGGAUUUCAACCCUUUAUUGCGAUUAUUAAUCGAGCUACUUAGCGCAAGCGACUGCAACACGUGGCAGCAUAACUCUAGUUGCAUGGUUGCACAAUUUACAGCACUUAUUUCGCGUCGCGGGAUAGUGCAUCAACGGUGGUUCACCUCUUGUUUGAUUCGGCGAUGUUCCCCUGAAGUUUGGAGCUGAGAAUCCGUAAGUAAAUUGUACCGGAUUUAUUACAUUAGGCUCGUUGAUAUGGUAUAUUCUUGACAGCAUAUCAAAGCUGACGUUUGAAGUUAUUAGGAGUAUAUAACAGCGUGAUAUGAGUACGAAUCAUAAAUUUGGGUUAAAGGGUUUACAGAUACAUUUUUCCCUAUAUGUUGUUUACAUACAGCAUUUCUUUGUCUGUAAGGGCAAUGACAUUGCGUACAUUUUGUUUAAGGUAUUUUAGGCCGCAUUAACACCUAUUAAAUUACCUCAGCGUAACAAGAACCUCCUUUAUAUUUCAUUAUUUUUACAAGUCCUGUAAACUUUAGCUCAACCUUAAAUAUUUUUGCUCUUUAGUCCCUUAUAUUUACAUGCGUAAAGCUACUUCCAAUACUAUUAAAGUCUUCAAUCAUUACAUUGGCAUCAACACUGUUAUAGUAGAGCAACGUUAUAUAUCUUUGACGAUAUCAUUUUGAGAUAUGUAUAAUGACCGACUGUAGACCGAAGAGCGAAGUGACCGAAGAGCGUAGCGACCGAAGUGCGAAGCGACCGAAGAGCGAAGUGACCAAAAGGAGCAAAGCAACCGAAGAACCAAAUGACCGAAGCAUUAUAACCUCGACACUUAAAAUGAAGCACAUAUAGCCUCGACGCUGCGCUGCGAAAUGGAGGCCUCGAUACGAUUAUUGUGGAAUUGUAUAGUACAUAUAACUUAAAGUGCGGCAUAUAUCUUCGUCACUGCGACAGCUGCGACAGCGGACCCCUUGACACAAUUAUUGUGGAGUAAUGAUAGCAUCCUCACUAUGACGUGGGGCAAACUUAGCCUCAACACUACGACAGCAGAGCCCUCGACACAAUGAUUGUGGAGUAAUGAUAGCCUCCUCACUAUUAAAGUGGGGUACAUAUAGCCUCGACGCUGUGAAAGCGGAGCCCUCGACACAAUAUUGUGGAGUAAUGAUAGCCUCUUCACUAUUAAAGUGGGGCAAAUAUGGCUUCAACGCUGUGAAAGCGGAGCCCUCGACACAAUGACUGUGGAGUAAUGAUAGCCUCUUCACUAUUAAAGUGGGGCAAAUAUAGCUUCGACGCUGUGAAAGCGGAGCACUCGACACAAUGGUUGUGGAGUAAUGAUAGCCUCAUCACUAUUAAAGUGGGGCAAAUAUAGCUUCAACGCGGUUAAAGCGGAACCCUCGACACAGUGAUUGUGGAGUAAUGAUAGCCUCAUCACUAUUAAAGUGGGGCAAAUAUAGCUUCGACGCUGUUAAAGCGGAGCCCUCGACACAAUGGUUGUGGAGUAAUGAUAGCCUCAUCACUAUUAAAGUGGGGCAAAUAUAGCUUCAACGCUGUUAAAGCGGAGCCCUCGACACAAUGAUUGUGGAGAAAUGAUAGCCUCUUCACUAUUAAAGUGGGGCAAAUAUAGCUUCGACGCUGUUAAAGCGGAGCCCUCGACACAAUGGUUGUGGAGUAAUGAUAGCCUCAUCACUAUUAAAGUGGGGCAAAUAUAGCUUCGACGCUGUUAAAGCGGAGCCCUCGACACAAUGAUUGUGGAGUAAUGAUAGCCUCAUCACUAUUAAAGUGGGGCAAAUAUAGCUUCAACGCUGUUAAAGCGGAGCCCUCGACACAAUGAUUGUGGAGUAAUGAUAGCCUCAUCACUAUUAAAGUGGGGCAAAUAUAGCUUCGACGCUGUGAAAGCGGAGCCCUCGACACAAUGUUGUGAAACAAGCUGAAACAUAUCAGGGAAUAACUCUUUUCAAUAAGUUGCCGUUGGACCUAAAGGCUGUAGCAAAUUCAUACAUAUUUGGUAAUAAACUUAAAAAAAUCCUGCUAAACCAGUGCCUGUAUUCAGUAGAGGAAUUUAUGACUAGUGCAAUUGAUUGACAUGCCAUAGCAACAUUUACACUUUAUGUUAAUAUUAAGUGAUUAUGUAAAUUUGUAGGUUUCAUUAGAAUUUAAGUAAUUAUAUAAAUCUAGUGUAAUUUGUGCAUGCUUAAAUCUGAAUAUUAAUAUGUUAAUUCUUACUUGUGACCUGUUUUUGUUAUUUAAAUUGGAUAUUUUUGUACUUGUCCUAGUCUUUGACAUAGAUAUAGUGUAAUAGUUACUCUGUAUAAACUUUGUCUUUUAUUGUUAUUGUUCUGUGUUAUAUAAUUUCAAACACAAUCGUGUAUUGUUUAAUGAAAUAAAUAAAUAAUAAUAAUAGUGUAGCACGUAGUUUAGUUAAUAAUUUUAUAUUAAGAUAUGGACCACCCAAGGCGAUAGUUACGGACAGAGGCACCGAAUUCGUCUCGUCUACAAUGAGUGAGGUAUGUAAACUGUUAAAAAUAGAUAAACUACAAUCAACAGCAUAUCACCAUGAAACAAUAGGUUCCCUCGAAAAUAGUCACAAAAAUCUAGGUUCUUAUCUAAGGAUACAGUGUAAUAAAUAUCCAGAAACGUGGAGUUAUUGGCUUCCAUAUUGGUGUUUCGCAUAUAAUAACUCAGUACACUCAGUAACAAAGUACACCCCGUUUGAACUUGUUUUUGGUAAAUCAUGUGAAUUACCUUGUAGAGUAAGAAGUACAAUUGAACCACUGUAUAACCCUAGUGAUUAUAGUUUAGAGUUAAGGUAUCGAUUACAGACGGCACACAAAGACGCGCGCGAAAACUUGAUAAAGUGUAAACAGCUUAGGAAGUGUACUUACGAUACAAAAGUGAACACAGUGAGUUAUAAAAAGGACGAUCUCGUCUUAGUGAAAAGUGAAACUGGUAACAAACUCGAUACGCUGUACAAAGGACCAUAUAAAGUGAUUAGAUUAGAAAAUCCUAAUGUUGUAAUUUCUCUCAACGGAAAAGAGGAUACUGUUCAUAUUAAUAGAACUAAGUUGUUCGUUCCAGACAAUUAACGUGUCUUAACUGUCAUACCUAUAUUUUUAUUAUGUAAAACUAUUACAAUGUGUAAAGUUCUUAAGUAAUAUUUUGUUAAAAUAAAAACAACAACUGUAUUGUGUGACAUGUUUGUACUAAGUACAUUGUUUAUAUAUGCGAAAAAAGAAAAAAAUGUAUAAUAUUUUUCUUUUUUUUGUCAACCCCGGUGGUGUGGCGUGGUAUAUCAUGUAGUGUGUUAGUUUUAAGAGAUUAGUAUUAAACGUAACGUCGAACA